AUCCAACUGACGAGUCCCAAAUAGGAUGAAACGCGUAUACUGGAU
rnacentral:hammerhead_ribozyme from 1 species